GGGGAUGUAGCUCAGUGGGAGAGCACCUGCUUAGCGUGUAGGAGGUCAGGAGCUCCAUCCUCA
rnacentral:tRNA from 1 species